AUUGAACGCUGGCGGCAGGCCUAACACAUGCAAGUCGAGCGGGACGACGGGCGGGUGGGUGAGGCCUAGGAAUGUACCUGGUAGUGGGGGAUGACGUCCGGCAACGGACGCUAAUACCGCAUACUAUCAGAUGAGCGUAGGUGGGAUUAGCUAGUUGGUGGGGUAAAGGGCUACCAAGGCGACGAUCCGUAACUGGUCUGAGAGGAUGAUCAGUCACACUGGAACUGAGACACGGUCCAGACUCCUACGGGAGGCAGCAGUGGGGAAUAUUGGACAAUGGGCGAAAGCCUGAUCCAGCCAUGCCGCGUGUGUGAAGAAGGUCUUAGGAUUGUAAAGUACUUUAAGUUGGGAGGCGUUACCAACAGAAUAAGCACCGGCUAACUCCGUGCCAGCAGCCGCGGUAAUUC
rnacentral:rRNA from 1 species